GCGUUUUCUCAUGUGUCUGUUAGCCAUCUGGAUGUCUUCUUUGGAGAAGUGUCUAUUCAUGUCUUUUGCCCAUUUCUUCACUGGAUUGUUUGUUUUUUGGGUGUUGAGUGAUGGUUAAUAUUUAAAUGGAAUGUUGGUCUUGCUCACUCCUUGAGGCAUGAAACCUGUACUUUUCUUCUUGUCUCCUGGUUUGGCUGUAUACACAUGCGGGCCCGCGUUCUGCAUACUCCUACAGCACAUUGUGUAAAUGGUGUGACAUAGCAGAAACCCCCCAACAACCUCUCAGUAGUCACUACUGUAGUUCCAAACUGUUUACAGGCACCUGAUUUCUUUCCUCCAUACCCUUUAACUCCUGAUUUUCCUUGUGUCUGGCCUAGUAAUUCUUUUUCCUUUUUACAACCUCAUCUUGUAUGUUGGACCUGACACUCAGAACCACUUCUUCUUUUAUGUGUUUCCGCUUCCUCCCUCAGCAGUGACUAAGAUUGUCCCUCCAGCCUGGCUGCUUUUGCUUUUGCUCCAUGAAUGGCAUUCCCUGUCUGACCUGGCCUUGAGACCCUCCUCAUUUGCUCCUUGUGUAUAUUGCUCUCCUCUUAGUUUGUCUGGAAGCUCUCACUUAAGAAAUACAGUGUACGUUGAGGCUCUUUGACUUUAUAGUUGGCUAGGAUUAUGUCUAUUAAAUUUGUUUGUGUUUUGGACUCAGACUACCUGACUGGAGACCAUCAUGGGGGCUAAGGCUUUUUGAUGUUCCUUUUAAUUGGAGAAAGAGAUAAGAAGUCUAGACAUAAUUAUGGGUCGAGUGGCCUACAGAAAACCUCUAAUCUUUCAUUUUGAAGUAAAAGAACAUUGGCUUACAAUUUAUGGGCCUUCAUUUCCAGUGCAUUUUGUAAAAGGCUGCUCACUACUCUCUAAGUCGUAUUCCUUAUUGAUAUUUCUUUAUAUAGUGUUUAUAUUUUGUUGUUAAAUUUGUCCUGUGUAUCAUAUGAUAUGUAUGGGUACUUCUUUGUAUAAAUUUGUCCUGCGUAUCAUAUAAUAUGUAUUGCUACUUUCUUGUAUAAUAUUUUUUUAUUAAAUUUCUAGUGGAGCAUAAAUUUAAUGACUUUUUUUGGUACAUUUAUCUUGCAUCUGUGCAUCUUAGUAAAUUCUUUUAUUAGUUUAAACGUUUAAUUAGAGUUGAAUAUUCAAAGUAUAUAAUCUUGUCUGCAUUUUCAAAGCCUAUAAUCUUAUCAUCUGCUACUAUUUGCAUAUAUAUGUAGUUUCUUCUUACAUCGGUCAUCAAAACAAUUAUUUUAAAAGAAUUAAUGAUAGUCAUCCUUGUUGGGUUUCUCAUUUUAAUAAAUGUACUUCAGCAUUUAGCAUCGUUUGCUCUUGAAUUUUGCUGAAAUAUAUCUUUGUUUUUAUCAUGUUUAGGUAGUUUUCAUCUUUCCUGUUUAAGUGUUUUUAACACACUUAUUUAUUGACCUAAUUUGUUAUAUACAUCCUGGGAGCCAUAAGGGGUCUUGUUAUCUGUUCUGCAGAUUUGAUCAGAGUCAAGAAUUCUUCAUCAUAAAAUUAUAUGCCUGCUGAAGAGGGCUGGGAAUCCGUUUACUUGACGUAUUUCGUCUCAGUGACCUAUGACCUCUAGCCAAUCUGUGAAAUGAGAGACAGAGGCUGUGUCAACUCUAAAUUAGUUCCGUCUUUAUGUACCUACAUAAUUUGUACCCCAAACCAUCCAUUUAUAUGACAUUCUGUAUAGUGGCAGAAUCAUUAACAGGUUUGUGCACGUUUUUCUUAAGGUAAAAUGGACAGCAUAUAAUAUCUGCUUUUUACUUAGAGUUCUAGUUUUUAAUGAAUAGUAAUGUACUCAGCCAGAACGUGUUAUUUUCGUGUGUACGGACAUGGACUGAUUUAAACUAUUUCUUGCAAACUGAACCAUGAAUCGUUACAAUUUUCAUAAAGAACUGGACCCAAAAGUAGUGAAUUUUUAUUGUCCAAUGAACUCCCCCUAGUUUAGAAAAAUAUACUGUGACUCAGUUCACGUUAGAUCUGUGUUUAAUUAUUUACAAAACUGCAUUGGAAGAAAAUUGUAAUGCAUAUUAUUCUGUGGAAUGGUUUAUUUCCAUUUUUUUAAAUACAAGUCUUGGAUGAAAGAGGCUGCAAAAGGACGUCAUUGACAAGUGUGCCCUUUCUCACCAGGAACCACAUGAGGAUCCCGCGGCAGCUUUAGGCACCCCCUCCUAAGUUGAGUGUUCUAACAGGUUUUCCUUUACCUGCGGCUGCCAGAAAUUGUUGGCAAGAAUCAUUAUUUGGUCCACUCUUGGUGUUCAGGAUUGUUGCCUCUGGCGGCAGGGCUAACCCCAGUGUUUCUGAGAAAGGUGGAAACGUGCCCUAUUAGCUCUGGGAAGCUGCGGGGGGAGAACUACCCCCUCAGACAGUUAUUUUAUAUUAUCCUUUACGGCACUUGUGAUACGUUCAUUAUUCAUCCUUCUCCAAGCAUGCUCAUUAUAAAUGCUAUGUAAUUACAUUUUAAAGGCAAACUGUGUAUCCAGAGUAUCACCAGGUAUCCCACUCCAAGUCACCCUGAGUCUUCACCCCAAACCUCUGCCCCGUAGGAGACACAUGUUUCCUUUUUGUGUCUUGUUAGAGGUCCACAAGCUGGGAGCUACACCCAUGUCUCUUUGAGUUGUCCCUUGAGUUUCUGGCCAUCCCCAGCAUUGAAACAGGCAUCUCGUUUGGGUAGUGUCGGUGCUCUCCCAGGGUAUGUUUUAAUAAUGUGCAGUAAUUAAAGUUUUGCUUUUCCGGACCUUUCUGAAUAUCUGUGAUGUUUAAACAUUUUUUGUUCAGAAUAUGUGAGUGUCCUUCGUUGAUUCAAUUAGCCUUUAGUGCUUUACAUAGUAGUGUGUACUCCGUGAAUUUUUGUUCAAUCACAUGGCAGGAAUGUGUACGACUUUGGUGGACUAUGAAGUUUUGUGUCAGUUAUCAGAAAUUCUUAGAUUUCUUAAUUCCUCUUUGCCUAUUUUUAAUGUUGACAGUAGUAAGUGAGGCAUUGUAAGUCCACGGGGAGGUUAGAAGGGAUGGUGAUGAUGAUGAUGAGUGUGUAUGUGUGCUUAUGUGCGUCCAUUGGCAUGUAUUUAUUCGUAUGUAGGCAAGAGUGAGGAUAAAGCAGUAGUGAGAAUGGCAGAAAAAAGAGACAAAAUUAUCUCACUAUGUUCUGCAAAUUGCUUUAGGCCAUUUGGACCAUUUGAUUUUUCAUGGAUCCCUCAAGAUCCAUUGUACUAAGAGCAGGUACUACACAGAGCCCUGGAGACAGCCUCAAAGAACUUGGUCCAGAGGAGGAGUAGCAGAGAACCGUGUGGUCAAGGCUUUGAUUAAGAGACAUGGACCUGGCCUGAGAGUACUCAACAUCUUACAAGAUGUGAAGAGAUUUGGGAAGAAAAGAGAGUGGCUGAGCCCAAAUUCACUUCAAGUGUUAGAAAAUUAACUUACAUUAAUUCAGAGUGGAUUGGCACAUUGCCUUAGUAUAAAUUAUAGUUAAUGUCCAGCAUAAUCUGUGGCUAUGUAAAAUUAAGAACACCAUUUCUCUUGGAUAGUAUUAAACUGAAUUUAUUCAGUCAAUCUUACAAGAUCCUAUAAUGCGAAAGAAUUCACCUUUCAAAUGGAUAUACUCUAAUAUUUUGGUUUAUAAUUAAUUUGGGCUAUUCUGGAUAUUUGCUGCAUCAUAUGCACAAUCUAAAUAUUAUUAACAUGCACAGAUUAAAAUGGAAAAGGA